rnacentral:rRNA from 1 species
CCUACGGGAGGCAGCAGUGAGGAAUAUUGGACAAUGGGCGCAAGCCUGAUCCAGCCAUGCCGCGUGCAGGAUGACGGUCCUAUGGAUUGUAAACUGUUUUUAUACGAGAAGAAACACCCCUACGUGUAGGGACUUGACGGUAUCGUAAGAAUAAGGAUCGGCUAACUCCGUGCCAGCAGCCGCGGUAAUACGGAGGAUCCAAGCGUUAUCCGGAAUCAUUGGGUUUAAAGGGUCCGUAGGCGGUUUAGUAAGUCAGUGGUGAAAUCUCCCCGCUCAACGGGGAAACGGCCAUUGAUACUGCUAGACUUGAAUUAUUAGGAAGUAACUAGAAUAUGUAGUGUAGCGGUGAAAUGCUUAGAGAUUACAUGGAAUACCAAUUGCGAAGGCAGGUUACUACUAAUGGAUUGACGCUGAUGGACGAAAGCGUGGGUAGCGAACAGGAUUAGAUACCCUGGUAGUCCACGCCGUAAACGAUGGAUACUAGCUGUUGGGUGCAAACUCAGUGGCUAAGCGAAAGUGAUAAGUAUCCCACCUGGGGAGUACGUUCGCAAGAAUGAAAACUCAAAAGGAAUUGACGG